AUUGAACGCUGGCGGCAGGCCUAACACAUGCAAGUCGAGCGGAGCGGCGGACGGGUGAGUAAUGUCCGGGAAACUGCCUGAUGGAGGGGGCUAACAUCCGGAAACGGGCGCUAAUACCGCAUACUAUCAGAUGAGCCUAGGACGGAUUAGCUAGUUGGGGGGUUAAAGGCCUACCAAGGCGACGAUCCGUAAAUGGACUGAGAGGAUGAGCAGUCACACUGGGACUGAGACACGGUCCAGACUCCUACGGGAGGCAGCAGUGGAGAAUAUUGGACACAGGGCGAAAUCCUGAUCCAGCCAUGCCGCGUGUGUGAAGAAGGUCUUCGGAUUGUAAAGCACUUUAAGUUGUGAGGCGUUACCAACAGAGUAAGCACCGGCUAACUUCGUGCCAGCCGCGGCGGUAAUAC
rnacentral:rRNA from 1 species